rnacentral:rRNA from 1 species
CCUACGGGAGGCUGCAGUGGGGAAUAUUGGACAAUGGGCGAAAGCCUGAUCCAGCCAUGCCGCGUGUGUGAAGAAGGCCUUCGGGUUGUAAAGCACUUUCAGUGGGGAAGAAAGCCUUGGGGCUAAUACCCUCGAGGAAGGACAUCACCCACAGAAGAAGCACCGGCUAACUCCGUGCCAGCAGCCGCGGUAAUACGGAGGGUGCGAGCGUUAAUCGGAAUUACUGGGCGUAAAGCGCGCGUAGGCGGUCUGAUAACCCGGUUGUGAAAGCCCCGGGCUCAACCUGGGAACGGCAUCCGGAACUGUCAGGCUAGAGUGCAGGAGAGGAAGGUAGAAUUCCCGGUGUAGCGGUGAAAUGCGUAGAGAUCGGGAGGAAUACCAGUGGCGAAGGCGGCCUUCUGGACUGACACUGACGCUGAGGUGCGAAAGCGUGGGUAGCAAACAGGAUUAGAUACCCGAGUAGUC